GAAGGGUGGCAAGCGUUGUUCGGAAUCACUGGGCUUAAAGCGCGCGUAGGCGGAAGUUCAAGUGUCCUGUGAAAUACCCCCGGCUCAACCGGGGAACUGCGGGGCAAACUGGAUUUCUUGAGGCAAGUAGGGGUACAUGGAACUCUUAGUGGAGCGGUGGAAUGCGUAGAUAUUAAGAGGAACGCCGAUGGUGAAGACAGUGUACUGGGCUUGUCCUGACGCUGAGGUGCGAAAGCGUGGGGAGCGAACGGGAUUAGAUACCCCGGUAGUCCACGCCGUAAACGAUGUCUACUAGGUUGUGGAGGUUCUGACACCCUCACAGUCGAAGCAAAAGUGUUAAGUAGACCGCCUGGGGAGUACGGUCGCAAGGCUA
rnacentral:rRNA from 1 species